UAAGAGAAAUUGGGCCCCUGUGGGGGUCAAAAAAGAAGAAAACUCCAAACCAUUUGUUUUCUACCUGUUUCCCUGCUUCGGCAGGCGGCUCUUCGGGGCCUUUGCUACCUGUAGUGCCUGCCGGAGUAUCCAAAACUCUUGUUAUUUUGUUCUGUCUGAGUAAACUUUUAAUAGUUAAAACUUUCAACAACGGAUCUCUUGGUUCUGGCAUCGAUGAAGAACGCAGCGAAAUGCGAUAAGUAAUGUGAAUUGCAGAAUUCAGUGAAUCAUCGAAUCUUUGAACGCACAUUGCGCCCAUUAGUAUUCUAGUGGGCAUGCCUGUUCGAGCGUCAUUUCAACCCUCAAGCUCUCUUGCUUGGUGUUGGGGCUUCUGCGGCUUCGGCCGCAGGCCCUGAAAAACAGUGGCGGGCUCGCUAUAACUCCGAGCGUAGUAAUCUCUCUCGCUUUGGAAGAGUAGCGGUUCCCGGCCGUUAAACCCCCCAAUUUCUGAAAUGUUGACCCUCGGAUCAGGUAGGAAAUACCCGCUGAACUUAAAGCAUAUCAAUAGCCGGGAAGGAAACU
rnacentral:rRNA from 1 species